rnacentral:rRNA from 1 species
AGCGAACGCUGGCGGCAGGCCUAACACAUGCAAGUCGAACGAAGUCUUCGGACUUAGUGGCGGACGGGUGAGUAACACGUGGGAACGUACCUUUUGGUUCGGAACAACUCAGGGAAACUUGAGCUAAUACCGGAUGAGCCCUUAGGGGGAAAGAUUUAUCGCCGAAAGAGCGGCCCGCGUUAGAUUAGCUAGUUGGUGAGGUAAAGGCUCACCAAGGCUACGAUCUAUAGCUGGUCUGAGAGGAUGAUCAGCCACACUGGGACUGAGACACGGCCCAGACUCCUACGGGAGGCAGCAGUGGGGAAUCUUGCGCAAUGGGCGAAAGUCUGACGCAGCCAUGCCGCGUGAAUGAUGAAGGUCUUAGGAUUGUAAAAUUCUUUUACCAGGGACGAUAAUGACGGUACCUGGAGAAAAAGCCCCGGCUAACUUCGUGCAGCCGCCGCGGUAAUAC